CAAUUCCAUGACCUCUUCCACUUUUUUUCCAUGUCACUAGAUUGAAUUUUCACAUCAAGUCGCGUAACCUAGGUCUCCCGUCUGAAAGGGUUGCAUCGAUAAAUAUGCAUUCAAUUGCAUAUUUAUCACCGCAGCUUUUUCGGAUUGUCCAGCGCUUUCCACGGACAGCCCGAGGAUGUGUAGAUUGGGUACGUUGUUCAUGCUCUACCCCGUUCCGAGACAGGAUUUCGGCUGCGCCUCCCUGUUGUUCUCCAGAUGCACAUUCUCUCGGCAUUUUGCCGAGACGUGUAUUUUGUCUCGGAAUGGGUAGAGCAUGGACCGUACUCAAUCUACACAUUCUCGGGUGGGAUUAGGACCCAUCUUUACCUAUUAGAGAUGUAGGUGGAUUACUCGUCAACCUUGUAAAAAAUAAAAUAUUGAUGUGGGUAAUUUAAAUGAAUCCUUAAUUUUGUUGUGUGGCUUCCAAUAAAGCAGAGAUGGCAGAUAAUCAGUGGAUGUAUAGUGGGUUUUUCCAUCGGAAUCAAGUAACAACAGAGUGGGUCGAGAAAACUGAUGUGUUUUUGAAAGAGAUAUUCCGUAGACCAAUGAGGAUGGUGCCAGAAUGCCCGUGUGCCAGAUGUAAGAGACGUAUCAGCAGAGAUAAGAGUGAGAUGACUAAGCACCUUCACACGCAUGGAUUUAUGCCCAACUUUAAUAUGCCGAUAAACUUUGCCCAGCGGGACCGUGGUAGAGAGGAUGUGAUAUGACAACGCGUCGCUGGUUAUGAGGACGAUGGGGUUAGAUACAUGCUAGAUGAUGUCUUUGCUGCACAGCCAACACCUUCGUCACAUUCAGCGAAUGAACCGGAGGAGCCGGAGGAAACCGCAAAGGCCUUCCUAGAAAUCUUGGCCUCCUCAAAGAAACCUCUUUAUGAGGGUGCCAAGCUGUCUGUGCUGGAUGCCAUCUCGCAACUGAUGGCAGUCAAGGCUGAGUACGGUUGUAACCGAGGUUGCUUCGAAGCAUUUCUGGGAGUAUGGGCUAACAGCCUGCCUGAGGGCCAUGAACUGCCGAAAACCAUGUACGGUACGAAGAAAAUCAUGAAGGCGCUCUCCAUUGACUAUGAGAAAAUACAUGUUUAUCCAAAGAAUUGCCUUUUGUUUAGGCAUGAGUAUGCGGAUGACAAGUAUUGUAGGAAGUGCGGUUCCUCUCGGUAUAUUGAGGUGGUCGAUAAGCAUGGUUAGAAGCAGCAGCUAAAAAUCCCUAUGAAGGUUCUUCGGUAUCUUGAUUUUAUAAAAAGACUGCAGCGCCUUUUCAUCACCGAGGAGUCUGCCAAAAUGAUGAAGUGGCACAAGGAAGGGAAAAGGUACAAUCCAAAAAAAAUUGUACAUCCAUCAGGAGGUGAAGCAUGGAAGUCAUUCGAUAUAGAGUACCCGGAGGAAGCAGCCGAGGCUGGGAAUGUCCGAAUUGCUAUAACAGGUGAUGGGUUCAAUCCAUAUGGUAUGUCGUCUAAUCCAUACAGCUGUUGGCCCAUAUUUGUUAUUCUGCUCAAUCUCCCUCCCGGCGCCAUAAUGCAACGCAAGACCAUGUUCCUGUCGCUUAUAAUUCCGGGGCCUGAAUAUCCGGGGAAGAAUUUGAGUGUGUUUAUGCAGCCAUUGGUGGAUGAUUUGCACCAUUCUUGGUACUUCCCAAGGUUGACAUACGACCGACAUCUGCAGAAAAAUUUCUUGAUGAAAGUUUGGCUACAAUAUUGCAUGCAUGACUUUCCCGGUUAUGCCCUGUUCUGCGGAUAGUGUACAAGUGGAAAGAUGCCUUGCCCAGUGUGCAUGCAGGCCUUGAUUUUCAUUUGGCUGAAGAAGGGUGGCAAGUAUGUUGCAUUUGACCUGCAUCGACAGUUCCUCCCUCCAGACCAUCCUGAUAGGGAAGACAAGAAGAACUUCACAAAAGGCAAAGUUGUCCAUGAAGUAAACGAGAUUCCAACAUUUUCUGGUGCGGAUGUGCUUGCUCAGCUGAGAGCUCUUAAGCCUGCCGGUGAAGGGAAAGGCAAAGGCAAAGGCAAAGGCAAAGGCAAAGGCACAUGUGAAGACGAGGGCGAGGGCAAAGGAAAAGGUAAAGGGAAUUUUUUUUGAAGGAUAUGGUGAGACGCACAACUGGACUCACAUUACCCCCUUCACGCAGCUUCCCUAUUUUAAGGACCUCAAACUUCCAUACAACAUAGACGUGAUGCACACCGAAAAGAAUGUCGCAGAGUCCCUUUUUCGCACGAUCCUCAACAUUCCUGGACAAAGGAUAAUGUUAAUGCUAGAGUUGAUCAACAGAAUAUUUGUGAUAGACCACGUCUACACAUGCAGCCUCCCAUAGGUAGUCGAAAAUCUUGGUUCAAGCCAGAUGCUGACUUCGUACUUAAAAAGGAUCAUAAGAUGGAUGCAUUCAAGUGGCUGAAACACGUCGUGAAGUUCACUGAUGGUUAUGCGUCGAAUAUAAGUAAGGGGGUCAAUCUUUCAACGGGCAGAGUGACCGGGCUCAAGAGUCAUGACUAUCAUGUAUGGAUUGUGCGGAUUAUGCCGGUGAUGGUUCGGGGCUAUGUUCCCGAGCGUGUCUGGCGUGUGCUUGCGGAGUUAAGCCAUUUCUCCCGCACGCUUUGUGCUAAAGAAGUAUGUCUUGAGAAGAUAAAAGAAAUGCAUAAGAAGGCGCCGGAGUUGAUAUGCAAGCUAGAGAAGAUCUUCCCGCCAGGCUUCUUUACUCCGAUGACACAUCUCAUUUUGCACCUCCCGAACGAGGUAUUGUUGGGGGGCCCUGUGCAGAAUCGUUGGCAGUACGGCCCUGAGAGACAGAACAAGCAUCUGAGACAGAAAUAUGGAAACAAAGCUAAGAUUGAAGCUUCCAUAGCUGAGGCAGUUAUCCUAGAGGAGGUGGCAGACCUCAGGACAGCCUACUAUCCGGACCAUGUUCCCACGUUGCACAAUAAGGUGUCUCGAUACAAUACAGAAGAACCCAAGUAUAAACCCAAGUUGCCUCUAUUCAUCGGGCAAGGUGGUAGGGCUGGAUGCUCGAAACCUUAUGUCAUGCCACGAGAUGAGUGGGAGGAUGUCAUGUUCUAUAUCUUGCACAACAUCAAGGAAGUUGAGGAUGAGUGGAUGAGGUAAUACCUUUGCACCAUUCUUUUAGUCAAUUCGUUAUGUUCACUUUGCCUAGUUCUUAUACCGCUUUUCUUAUUGUAGUCGAUUCGUUGAAGAAGAAUGGACGGGAAUGCUGCCUCCUACUGAAGCGGAGGCACUUGCGCUUCUCCGAAAGGGUGCUGAUGGAAGGAAAAAUUUCGUUGUGUGGUUCAUGGAGAAAGUAAUUUUUCACACUUUCAAUUAAACUCAUGCACCCUAUAAUUUCAAUUAAACUCAUGCACCCUAUAAUUUCAAUUAAACUUGUAGGGAAAUGAUCCGACCGAAUCAAUGGAUGAAGAAUUGAGAUGGGUUUCCAUGGGUUUUGACCCUGUCGUCAUGACAUGCGAAAAGUAUGAUGUGAAUGGGUAUCGCUUCCAUACAGAGGAGCACCAGAACAGUCGUCCUGAUCCCAAAACCAUAAAUACCGGAGUCUUCACUGAAGGAGAUAAUAAAGUAGAUUACUACGGAAGGGUAGGAAAAAUAUACGAGCUUACAUUCAAACUUGGCCGCGAACACCUAAGUCUCACUGUUUUCAAAUGCCGAUGGUUCGACCCCAAAAAGGGUCUGAGACAUACGCCUUCUGUUGGUUUAGUUGAAGUUAAACCAUCAACCGUCUAUGCCGGAGCUGAUCUCUUUAUCGCCGCUACCCAGGCCACACAAGUAUAUUAUCUGCCUUACCCAUGCCAGAAAGAGUACCUAAAGGGUUGGGAAGUUGUGUUCAAGGUGUCGCCGCAUGGUAAGCUACCGGACCCGAACGAUGAUGAUUACUACAACAUAAACCCCAUGACAUACGAGUGAGUGUUCUAUCAAGAGGAACAUGAUGACGUGGUCCGAAACAACGAGGAUGAUGACUUGGGUUAUGUUGACCUGGACCCAAACGACAACGACGCACGGAUUGACUUGGGCAUGAUGCAUUUUUGUUCUUCUUUACCGUCAUGUUCUUAUGUAUGGCUAACUUCUAUUUGACGUUGUAGGAGGACAAGUUAAAGAGGCCGCUCUCAGACAUGGAGUCGUGGAAGCUGGCCCGCGAGCGGAGUCAUCGCAAGGAGGGCGAGAGCCAGUACUACGGCAAGACCGAGGAGCACCUGGGGUCUUACAUUCAUCACUAUCAGGAGUUGCAUCCGGAUGUUCCUGUUGCUGAGGUCGCCCAGUCUCAGAUCGACGACACGGCGGUGGUGGCCAUCCAGGGGAAGAAGAAUGGCCGGUAUCCAUGUUUCGACGGCUUGAUCACUCCUUCGAUCUCGUACACACAGCUUCGGGCUACCAACCCGAGCCAGUUAGAGAGUACGGGGCGUUCACAGACUCCCUUAGCCCGCCAGCAUGUUGUAAGUACUUCCUCUUUAUCUUUUUCUAUCUAGCAUUCUCAGUUUAUUUUCAGCAUUGCUCACUUAGAAACAAUCUAAAUUAUGUAGGCAUAUAAGGAGUUUGUCGAGCAUAGGAAUCUCGAGGUGCGGGAGUACUUGAAACGAGUGAAGGCAAACGAUGAUUACAACCGUCAGAUGAUGACGGUUAGUUUUGCCCUCUUAAAACCAAGCUAAAUUUUUGCACUUUCAUUCCUUCUGAUCUUCUAGUUUGCUUGUUUGACUAACAUUCAGGCUAUGUUGGCGUCUUGGAGUAACCGCACGGAUCCACCACAAAUGGGACCCCCACCACCACCUGCAGGAGAACCCCCACACGUGCCCACGUUCGAUGAAUGGGUGGCACUAGGCAGUGAUGGUCCGGUUAGUACAUUUGCCUAACUACUGACAAACUAGUUCUCGUUCAUUCAACACUAUCAUAUCAUAUUUACCGUUAGAAUCUUUUCUGAAACAUGUAGGGGACCGGUGGCUCGACUCCUGCUCCGUCGACCCCAGUCACUCCGAUCUGGCAGAGUGGUUUUGGCGGAGGUGGUGAUUUUGGCGGAGGUGGUGGUGGUUUUGGCGGAGGUGGUCUUGCUUGAUGAUUCCGUGCAUGUGGCCGUCGUGCCAUGCCUUUCAUAUUCCUACUUCUAUCAUGUUUCAUGUCUUGCACUACUUUUAUGUUCAUGAACUUGAGUCCACGAUGAUCUUUAGAUGAUGUGAUGAACUUGAGUAUGUUUAGAUGAUGAUGUUGAACUUGAGUAUGUUUAGAUGAUGAACUGUCAUAUUUCUGCAUAAUUUCAUAUUGUUCUGUUUUGAAAUGCUGUCAAACGAAUUGGAAAAGAGAAAACAGGGAAAAAAAACUAUGCCUACGGCAAAGCCGUCGGCAUAUAUAAGCCCAGGAGUCACCAGGGCUCGCCACGUGGCAUAUCUCUGCUGCCACGAGUAACCAGGAGACGACACGUGGCAGGGCUAUGCCUACGGCAAAGCCGUCAGCAUAGAUUCAUCUAUGCCGACGGCUUUGCCAUAGGCAUAGCCCUGCCACCAGGAGUACCACGGGUUGCCACGUGGCAGAGAUAUGCCGACGGCAUACAUGUGCCACAUGGCAUUGCAUGAUUCGUCCGCGCUUUUGACGGCGUCGUCCGCGGCCGUCAGACGGAAACCNNNNNNNNNNNNNNNNNNNNNNNNNNNNNNNNNNNNNNNNNNNNNNNNNNNNNNNNNNNNNNNNNNNNNNNNNNNNNNNNNNNNNNNNNNNNNNNNNNNNNNNNNNNNNNNNNNNNNNNNNNNNNNNNNNNNNNNNNNNNNNNNNNNNNNNNNNNNNNNNNNNNNNNNNNNNNNNNNNNNNNNNNNNNNNNNNNNNNNNNNNNNNNNNNNNNNNNNNNNNNNNNNNNNNNNNNNNNNNNNNNNNNNNNNNNNNNNNNNNNNNNNNNNNNNNNNNNNNNNNNNNNNNNNNNNNNNNNNNNNNNNNNNNNNNNNNNNNNNNNNNNNNNNNNNNNNNNNNNNNNNNNNNNNNNNNNNNNNNNNNNNNNNNNNNNNNNNNNNNNNNNNNNNNNNNNNNNNCGGCAUAGGCCCCUAUGCCGACGGCUAUACUAUGCCGACGGUCUGACAAGACUACGCUGACGACAUCUACGCCGACGGGUCUAUGCCGACGGCAGCCGUAGGCAUAGAUCUAUGCCGAUGGCUUAGGGGCCUAUGCCGACGGCCCGUGGCCGUAGGCAUAUACCGCGAGUCCGGUAGUGGCAACUCAGGAAGCAGCAGAGUGACUUGAGUAGGUAAGUUUUUGAGAAUUGCCAAACCUGGUACAAGCCUGGGCUGCGAGUUGACUAAUCGAUCAAGCAAGGCUUGACCUGGUCAGAAUCGGCCUAGAUCGCCGAAUGGGCGACGUUGGCUUGACUAGUUGACUUCAACUAUUUGACGGUCCAUUGCGCCUCCUGCUCGAGACGCACACAUAAAUGACAAGAAAAAGUCCUCUUGUCGAGGGAAAAAAACGCUACAAAGUCAUGCGGAGUGGUCAAAGGUGGAAUCUACCCUGUAUUUACAUGAUAUUCUAGUAUUUUGGAAGUUUCUUGUUUGCAAGAAAUUUUUUAAUCUAUUCAUCAUGCCAUGACGAUACAAAUAACAAAAAUUACACUCAUGUCCAUAUACCACCUAGCAACGACUAGAAGCACGGGAGCGAGCCAAAGCCUCUUCCUCACCGGACAACCAGUCUCGCUAAGCCACGUGUCUGAAUGAUUGUUUUGUUGUAAUUUUUAAGUAUGAUUUUCCUUUUUGAGUACGAAUCGAAUGGCAUGGUGUUUGUUGCGCUGCACAUGUCCCAUGCCUCGUUGUUCAAACUGAAUAUCAAGUUUCAACCUCAAGAGGGUAUGUAUCCGAACUAACAUUAUGAGGUGUUUCUCCUAAGCAUCGGCUAGGGCUUACACCUUCUCCCCCAGUGGUGGCAGAAGAUGAUCUUCUUCUUCGACUUGGUCUUCUGGGCUUCCAUUCUCCUCAAGUUCAUCAACCCUCCAGUUCACUCGCUUGGACGGAAUUGACAGAGCUAUAACAUAGAUUCGCAUUAUCUUCUUGGGACAGUGAGAUUAAGGUUUCUCGUCAUGUGUGGACAAUCAGGCUAGGAUUUCUUGUCGUGUAUGUGCAACGGUGAGAUUUGAUGUUGGACACUUCAGAUUGAUUCAAGGGUUCAACAACGACGAAUGUGGCUCCAGAGUGGUGGUCCUUAAGCGCGCGUACACGAAGACUUUCUGACUGUCAUUGACAAGGUGGUCAGUUCCAGUAGGGGAGCAUCUACAGUGCCACAUCGGCAACUCAUUUUGGCGGCCAUAAUGGUCGUUCGGUGGACUAGAGAUCUCAAUAUAAUUUCUAUUAUGUUUGUGAUGCUUUGUACUUUUGAUGAACCUUUAUAAUAGAUCCAGUGCUUUUCUCGAAGAAAUAUAGCCGACCUCAAGACACGAGGGCGCUAUGUAGAUUUGGGUGACUACCACUUUCGUAUGGUGAAAAAAAAAACCAGAAAAUUCUUGUGGUUAAACGUUUCCAUUCGUUUUAGUUCAAAAUUUGAACUAAAACCACCCCACUUGUUUCUGAACGGAGGAAAUAACAUCGUGUGUGCGUUAAAAACAGAUUUCUAGCAUAAACACGUAAGAAAAGCAGAAUUUUCCAUCUAUACAUAAAUAUGAAAAGUUUCCAUGUUCUUAUGGAACUAGCGUGUAAUUUUACAUUUUAAAUCCUAACAUUCUAAGUGUCCAUCGACCAUUCAUUCUUCUUGCAAUAAUUAUGCGUGUGGCCGGAGACGGAUCUAAGUUUGUAUCAAUUUUGUUCGAGUUAUGGUGAUUCCAGACCAUAUUAAACUAUUAUAAUGUUGUAGCUUGGACAAAUGUGAAACCCAUGUGUUGAGCUCGUGAUAAUCAUACAAAUUGAGUUUCGCGAGCAAAGUGUGGCACCCCCUUAUUGUAAGGUUCUAGAUCUUCCACCACCCCUGCUUCUCAAAUUUUGACCAAAGGUUUUUCGUAAAAAUAUUGACCAAAUCGAGCUAUCCACCAUUGGCCCGCUGCCGAUGCCCCCAACUUCUCGAACGAACACCUGCAACACUGAAACAGUACAUUUGUUGAUGUCUUUGCACGAUUCGAGGGUUGAAUUUUGUUCAAACAAAAAUUGCUUUUUGUCACAAUGCGGCCUCGAUAUUUGUAUCCGACAUUACGGCCACUUCCACAUCCGCUUCCAGAAUUUCCGCGCUCAUUUCCGCUUUUCCUAAAAAUAUAUAUAUUGAAAGAAUGUAUUGCACUCACCUCCUUUUCCUCUUUGUUUUUCACAUACACUCGUUGGUCCAAAUAAACGGACAUCUUGUUGUCAUCUUUUGCCUUGUUGCGCGGGCGUGACGCGCAUGCGGUUCCUCCACCGGGGGAUCCAAAACAACAUGAAGCAAAUGACGGUGUUGAAGGCGAAGAUAGAGACAAGGCGUACGAGAAAAGUCCGCCUUCCCAGGAAAAAGUCCAUUUCAAACCUUGAACUUGUAGAGGUCGGGCGAAACAAACCCUCAAGUCGAAAUUCCGGUCGAUUGCACUCUGAACUUUGCAAUCCUGGUCUAAAUCGAACCUUCGGGUCAUUUUACAAACAGGGAUUGUCGAUGUGGCAAAGAAUGACUGGGAUUGGGGAGGAAAAGCCCGCAGCGCCUGCGGGUGGGCCGGCCCAGUUCGCGGCAGCGCGUGCUGCACGUUGUUGCUUCAGUUUUUUUGUUCGUUAUUUGUUCGUAUUCAAACACGAUUUGCGCUGUAUAUGCAUGCUCAUGCCAAGUUGUAGCACCCGUUCAAUGUGUGCCAUAAGUUUUAGCACCAAAGUAACUUUUCUCGCCAAGUUUAAGCACCGGUGGUGUAAUUGGCUCUUAUUAUUUCCAUGAAAACUAGCUGAAUGAUUCUGUUUCUUAAGGUGACAUAUUUUUUGUGUGGAAAACUUGGAACUUUAUUCAAUCAUCAACAGGUCCAACAUGUUCAGCUAAAACACUGGUCAUGAGGAAAUCGGGAGUGGCAGUCCAUCCACCAACUCAUCACCUCAUGUUUUGCACACAUGUAGGCUGAAGUGUUGGCAUUUCUCAUUACACGUUGAAUAACAAAAGAAGUAAAUGAUAAAGCUAGCUCUCCGUUUUCUAGAAGUAAAGACGCGACUAGUGAGCAUGAAAAUCUAUGUGAGUACCAGAGUUUUACAAUAUCUAAGCAAUUGAAAAAAAAAUACCCUCUAAGUAACCCACUUCCGUCACCAUUCAUGAUAGACCACAAAGCUUAACAAAUAUGACACCAUCUCGCAGAGCCCAGGCCUCGGCACUGAGUGGGCCAGUAACGUCAGGAUAUGGUUUUCUUUCUUUUCUUCUUGGGUUUAUUUUUUCUUUUCUUCUUAUACUUUGGUUUUCUUUGUUCUUUCUUGUUUUUCUUUGUUUGGUUCCAUUUUUGGCUUUUUUUUGUUUCUUUGUUAGUUCUAUAUCAGUUUUCUUUCUUUCGAACACAUAUCUACUUUUUCUCUCAUCACAGAAUAUACAUUUUUAGAGCACAAGUGAAAACAUUCUUCUGAUCGCACGCUGGACCUUUUUGAAAUACUCCCUCCGUAAACUAAUAUAAGAGCGCUUAGAAUACUAAAUUAGUGAUCUAAAUGCUCUUAUAUUAGUUUACAGAGGGAGUACAUGAUAUACAUUUUAAAAAAUACAUGUUUCGAACACUUUUUUUCAAUAUACGGUAACAUUGUUUCAAAUAUUUGUAGUACAUUAUUUUACUGGCAAUGACUGUUUUAACAACUACGCUAAUUUUUUCCUAAAUUUUAUAGCUGUUUGCAAAAAUUUACGGACAUUUUUUGGUAACACAUGAAUAUUUUCCAAAAAUGUCAUGUUAAAGUUUUUAUUAGAUGAAUAUUUUGUAACCUACAUGAACAUUUUUUUUACAUUUGUAUAUACCACCUCCUCACCAUAAUAUAAGAUCACUUUUUCUGAAUUGCUUACCACAUGUGUCACGUGGCUAUAAGAUCACAUAUUUGUUGUAUUACUUAGAUCUUUUAUUAUGGAAGGGAAGGAGUAACAUUUUUUUAAUAAUGUGAUGAACAUUUUUUGAAACAUGGGAGAAUAUUUCCAUCAAAUGUGAUGCACAUUCUUUUAAUGGCACGAAUCUUUUUCUUAGAUUAAAAAAAAAUACUUUUUUUACAUUGUAUACAUACUUUCAUAAAAAAUUGUGCCUUUUUAUGAAAGUUGGGAAUAAUUUUAUAUUGUGACGCAAUUUUUCUGAUAGUUAUCAACGAUUUCUUAAAACCGUGAUAACAUUUUUUACUAUGUUUAUUUUUCAAAUUAAUUUUUUUAAAUUUGGUGAGUAAACUUAGGUUUUUAUAAUAUAUGCAUUUAAUUCAAAAUAUAAAAAAAGUUAUAAAUAGAUUUUUGGGUGACAUGAGCAGACGAGCCACAUCCUACUGGGCCUUGCGCGCAAUAAGCUGCACAUAACCUGACACCCGGAUUGCAUCUCAUCAUCAAGCCAAAUCAUAUUGAACUGAGGCCAACAGAAAAAAUCACAAUAUGAUUUUGAUUUCAUAUUGAACUGAGGCCAACAGAAAAAUUCAUAAUUUUCCCUAAAAAAGAAAAAUUAUAAUAAAAUAUAUCAAAGCCAGGUUUCAAUUCUAGGACCUAUGAGUUAUGGGCCCACCAUGCUUCCGCUGCACCAUUCUGAUUAUCUCAUUGAGUUUGCGACGCGAAGCUACAUAUCCGCAAGUCUGAACCUGGACGUAUACAUGGACGGUCACUCUUAUGAUGUUGUUGUUAAAAAAUUCCUACUUAAUUAUAGUUCCGCCCGCUCAGGGAACAUCACCACCAAAAUGGCAAACAUGUUUAGAAAUGCACCAUGGAUCUGCAAACGAAUCUGUGGUUGGAUAGUUAGAGGGAUUGUGGUAUCCCAAACCCAUCAGAGUUCAAAUCCUGAUGCUCGCAUUUACUUUUGAAUUUAUUUCAGAAUUUCCGGCGAUGCACAUUCAGUGGGAGAAAACGUUUUCGUUGAUGACGAGGUGCCUACGGUGACUUCGUAAAUUUCAAGAUGAGUCUCACGUAUAUACAUCCGUCAGUGCUCGAGCUAGCAACCAAGUUGAGCAAGUCGUCGUGGCCGGAGCUAGUGGGCAUCCUGGCGUCGCUGGCGGCGACGCAGAUCGCGCACGACAGGCCCGCCGCCGCCAUCGAGGUGCUCCCGACCGGCGUGCCGGUGACUCCCGACUACAACCUCGAGCGUGUCCGCGUCUUCAUCGACCUUAACGGCAUCGUAGCCAAGACCCCCGUCAUCGGAUAGGCUCCCGUGAAUGGCACGUAGUGUAAUACGUACUGUACGCACCAGCGUGUAAUGUCGCCGCUGAGGUGGGGUGGGGGGGGGGGACUAGUUUGGGUUGUCUAUGUAAUCUUUGGUCGUCCAAACUUUAGUUCGGGUUUAAAUUGAAGGUUUCAGCUGCAAUGGUGAGAAAAUGUUGUUUGGCAUCGCCCAAGGGCGGGUGAAGUUUCAAUUAAGGUGAGAUAUUGGGCCUCAUUUUUGUGUUUUGUAUUUGUCCAGGUUAUCAAUGGUAUUGCAGUGUCCAUGGACAAACACUAUGCAGAAUUAGCUACCUUCGCUAGCCUCCACAUAAUAUCAACCCUAAGACGCCACCUUCACAGAACCUACACGUGGUAACGUGCAUGCCAUAUGAAUGAAACAAUUGGUAUCACAACACAAGUCACCAAAGAAUCCGCAACAACAACAAAUAUACACAACAACUCAGAAGAGUGUGAACUAAGCCCAACUCAUAUGGUUAGGUUCUGCGCGCUGGAACCAGCCCACCUAGGUUCAAUUACUAGAUUUGGUAUGCUUAUGAUUUCUGACUAAGGUGAGAUAUUGGGCCUCAAUUUUUGUGUUUUGUAUUUGUCCAGGUUAUCAACGGUAUUGCAGUGCCCAUGAAAAAACAAUAUGCAGAAUUAGCUACCUUCGCUAGCCUCCACAUAAUAUCAACCCUAAGACGCUCCUUCACAGAACCUUACAUGUGGUAACGUGCAUGCCAUAUGAAUGAAACAAUUGGUAUCACAACACAAGUCACCAAAGAAUCUGCAACAACAACAAAUAUAUACAACAACUCAGAAGAGUGUGAACUAAGCCCAACUCAGAUGGUUAGGUUCUUUGUGGUGGAACCAACCCACCUAGGUUUAAGUACUAGAUUUGGUGCUUAUGAUUUCUGACGAUGUUCAUGCAGUGGGAGAGACGUUCCCGUCAAUUACAGAGGCACCUGUGCGGACUUCGUCAAUCUCAAGAUGAUGUGCCAGCUUAGUCUCUCGAUGGUGCUCAUAGGGGUAGGGUGUUCAUGCAUGUGUUUAUAGGGGUAAGUGUAUGAGCGCCCGCUUCUGUACUGUGUUACAAAAACAACUCUGAAAAGUUAAAUUUAACAAAAGAAUACAAUAAUGGUCUUUCGACGAAGAUACAAUUCACACAAUGGAAUUGAAUAUGUCUCUUAUAAACUCUGCCAUGGCAGAAAUUAUAAGGUUACUACGUUGUGAACAUCAACACGACAUUUUUUAAAUCAUUUUUUAACCCGCCAACCAUUUUUGUGAUACCAAACAUUUUAUGUGACACUACGAAUCGUUCCAGAAAAUGGACAUGCAUAGCGACGCCCAAAUGCAUCGUUGAAAAUCAGGCCAGAACGUCGCCAAAGUUGGCUAGGGAACUACCACGGAAGGAAAACACCUCGUGACGGUGGACAGUCAUAGAAAAUGAUUUUAGGCGACGUUUUCUGUUUCGUCACCAGAGUUUUUGUCAUUGAAUAGAGCAAAUUUUGUAGUGCUACGACAACGGUCGGUUCAUCUCUCAAGCGGUUUUAUAUAUGUUGUACACUCACUCGUGUUGCAAAUAUGCCCUAAAGGCAAUAAUAAAAGUAUUAUUAUUAUAUUUCCUUGUUCAUGAUAAUUGUCUUUUAUUCAUGCUAUAACUGUAUUAUCCGGAAAUCGUAAUACACGUGUGAAUACAUAGACCACAAUAUGUCCCUAGUGAGCCUCUAGUUGACUAGCUCGUUGUGAUCAACAGAUAGUCAUGGUUUCCUGGCUAUGGACAUUGGAUGUCGUUGAUAACGGGAUCACAUCAUUAGGAGAAUGAUGUGAUGGACAAGACCCAAUCCUAAGCAUAGCACAAAGAUCGUGUAGUUCGUUUGCUAGAGCUUUGCCAAUGUCAAGUAUCUCUUCCUUUGACCAUGAGAUCGUGUAACUCCUGGAUACCGUAGGAGUGCUUUGGGUGUAUCAAACGUCACAACGUAACUGGGUGACUAUAAAGGUGCACUACAGGUAUCUCCGAAAGUAUCUAUUGUUUUAUGCGGAUCGAGACUGGGAUUUGUCACUCCGUGUAAACGGAGAGGUAUCUCUGGGCCCACUCGGUAGGACAUCAUUAUAUGCGCAAUGUGACCAAGGAGUUGAUCACGGGAUGAUGUGUUACGGAACGAGUAAAGUGACUUGCCGGUAACGAGAUUGAACAAGGUAUCGGUAUACCGACGAUCGAAUCUCGGGCAAGUAACAUACCGCUAGACAAAGGGAAUUGUAUACGGGAUCGAUUGAGUCCUUGACAUCGUGGUUCAUCCGAUGAGAUCAUCGUGGAACAUGUGGGAGCCAACAUGGGUAUCCAGAUCCCGCUGUUGGUUAUUGACCGGAGAACGUCUCGGUCAUGUCUGCAUGUCUCCCGAACCCGUAGGGUCUACACACUUAAGGUUCGAUGACGCUAGGGUUAUAAAGGAAGCUUGUAUGUGGUUACCGAAUGUUGUUCGGAGUCCCGGAUGAGAUCCCGGACGUCACGAGGAGUUCCGGAAUGAUCCGGAGGUAAAGAUUUAUAUAUAGGAAGUCCUGUUUCGGCCAUCGGGACAAGUUUCGGGGUCAUCGGUAUUGUACCGGGACCACCGGAAGGGUCCCGGGGGCCCACCGGGUGGGGCCACCUGCCCCGGGGGGCCACAUGGGCUGUAGGGGGUGCGCCUUGGCCUACAUGGGCCAAGGGCACCAGCCCCAAGAGGCCCAUGCGCCUGGGGAAACCCUAAAGGAAGAGUCCCAGCAGGGGAAGGCACCUCCUAGGUGCCUUGGGGGGGAGGACUCCUCCCCUGGCCGCCGCCCCCUUGGAGAUUGGAUCUCCUAGGGGCUGGCGCACCCCCCCUUGGGAUCCCUAUAUAUAGUGGGGUAGGAGGGCCUCCCAAACACACCUUAUGCCUUUGGUGCAGCCCCUCCCUCUCUCCCAAGUUCUUCUCCUCUCCCGUGGUGCUUGGCGAAGUCCUGCGGGAUUGCCACGCUCCUCCACCACCACCACGCCGUUGUGCUGCUGUUGGAUGGAGUCUUCCUCAACCUCUCCCUCUCUCCUUGCUGGAUCAAGGCGUGGGAGACGUCACCGGGCUGUACGUGUGUUGAACGCGGAGGUGCCGUCCGUUCGGCACUUGAUCAUCGGUGAUUUGAAUCACGAUGAGUACGACUCCAUCAACCCCGUUCACUUGAACGCUUCCGCUUAGCGAUCUACAAGGGUAUGUAGAUGCACUCUCCUUUCUACUCGUUGCUGGUCUCUCCAUAGAUAGAUCUUGGUGUUACGUAGGAAAUUUUUUGAAUUUCUGCUACGUUCCCCAACAACUCGCCCAUUGUAUUUACGACUUUGGGUGAUGGUCGUCCUUCAACUUCUCCUCUGCUUUACCAAAGUAAGAGGAAGAGAAGAAGAAGGACGACCCCCUACGACAAUAGUCGGUGUCCUUCACACAGAACAACUCUCAUCUUAGUUUGUGGAUUAAGAGUGAGUAUGAUCCACCCGACGGAAAAUACAAUGAAGUAGCUCGUCCAUAAAAACUAAUAAAUUUAUGGAAAAACCCAGCAUAGAUAUAUUGAGUGCCAGAAAUUAAGCGAAACAGAACUUAAUCCACGCGAAGUUUCACGUAAACAUUGACACUCAGUAUGAAUACCUGCAUCAUGAAUAAAAUAUUAUACCAUAUGUGGAUCCAUAUGCAGUACACAGUCCUCUAGCACAAGCAAUCAAAUUUAAGGGACGAGGAUCCUCUGCCGUUCGGCAGGGUGCCGUUCGACCACUGACUGAUGGACCCAUCGUGGAACAGGCCCACAUGGCAGCGCCACAACGGCAGGAGCCGCACGUCAGGGGAGCCGCUUCCAAAUUUAAGACGUCUACUUACAAACAUUCCAUGGUACAUAAAAUAAAUUUUUUAACUACACUAACAAAAUGUUGCUCAUGUACAAGUACAAUAAUGAGAACAAAUAAAAUCUCCAUUAGCGGAGAGAAAGGAGAUGUGCUUACUGGGGCGGAGUCGGACGACGGGCAGGACGAGGCCGAGGACGAUGGCGGAGGCGGAGGCGGACCGCGAGUUCGACGGAGACGCGGAUGAUGUUGGAUGCGGAAGGCGCAGGCGAUGGUCACGGGGAAGUAGUUGGAUGUAGUGUUGCAUGACGAGGCCAACAAACUUCAAGGCGGCGACGAACGGCGCGAGCGACAGGUAAGAUUUGAUCCAUGACGCUGCUCGAGGCGACGGACGACGCCAUGACUCUAGCCACAACGGCGAAGCAAGAGAGAGACAGAGGGAGAAAGAGUUGUGUGUGGAUGGAUAAGAUCCGACUGGCUGCAGGUGGGUGCGUGGUGGAUAAGGUCAUGUAUAGCAGUGAUGGGUUGCAGAUAGCGCCCGCCAUAGCUAUAUACUAGCCUAUCCCGCGCGGCGGCACGCCACGUCUGUCGAUAUGGUGUUGUUAUAUGGUGUUGUUAUAUUCGACCUCUCUUCUCUCUUGGUGGACACACACUUACGGUUACGGACAACAAAUGCUCUUUUUCCAUUCUUAGCAAUCAUACUUAUUUUUGCAUACAUGGGGUAUGCGCGACACAGGUCGCGCAUUGUUGGCGUGUUUCAUUGAGAUUUGUGUGUGGUAGAGAAAGGGUAUAUGUGUUGAUCAUUUUGUUGUUUGAUUGGUUGGUACCCAUGUUGUGUUGUCCAUUCAUUCAUUUCCUCAGGAACCAAUGAUGUGUAUUAGGUGUAAUUAUACAUGUCAAGUCUUGUCUACAUGUGUCAUUUACGUGGCAAAGCAUUGUUUACUACUUGCUAUUAUAAAUAGAGUUUUUGUUGUUGCAAUUGCCCUACGCAGUUGUGCUGUAUGUGCAAGAUAUUAUUACCCUGCUUUAGAGCAUCUUCAAUAGAUGGUUCAUAUUUUGGCGAUGUAAAUCGGUGAUGUAAAAUUUUACAUCAUCAAAAAGUGAUUUUCACAUCUCCGAAAAAGAGGCAACUCCAAUAGAUGGUCCAAAACGAAGAAGUAAAACAACAACUCCCACAGAUGGUCCAAAACGAAGAUGUAAAACCGGCCGGCGGCCGCACGGCUGCUGUUCAGCAGUUGUACAGCCACACAUAUUGCAAAAUACAUCUGAAAACAAUAAAAAAAUUAUACAUGUCCACAAUCUCAAAUUGUUACAUGGUUCUUCAAAUCCACGAGAUAAAAUGCAACACAAAUACAACGUAGUUUUGCAUAGUACAAUAUAGUUUUCCACAAACAAAUAAUGAAUCUAGGUGGCUCUUUUGCCAUGCCAUUUCCAAUGCUCUUCCACCGUCAGCCAUACUAUCCAAUCCCAAUUUAAAUAAUCAAGUUUCUUCAUUUCUUUACCUUGGGGAAUUCCGUCGAACACCUCGUGCGCGGGGUGGAAGAAGAUGGCCGAUGGUUGGAUUAGUAGCCCGUCGCUGCUGCGGUUGCGGAUGGCGGCGCAGAGGAGAAGGGAGCUCAGCGGCCGGUGAAGAGGAGCUAUACAGGUUGCCGGACCGCCGGAGCCGGCGUUUCCUGCCGCGGCUGCUUCCCGAAUCGGCGGCGACGGGGCGGCGGCGAGACGGCCUCCGCCGGGGGAGGCGACGGGGGCGAGAGCGGCGGCGAUUUGGGGCGAUGGCGGCGACGGCGAUUUAGGCGGUGGCGACGGCGAUUUUUCGGCGGCUGGUGCUCGGGCGGGGUGGGUGGUCGCGAGCGGUAAGGAAAAUGAACGGGUGGUUGGUCGUUUUGCGGGCUUUGCAUCACGAAGUGUUUUAUUUUACAUCUUCGGGAGGCAGUGAUGUAAUUUUUUUUUACAUAUGGAUCACCUGUUGGAGCAACAUUUUUUUUUGCUCUCGAAGAUCCAAUAGUUAGGUAUUUUUACAUAUGAACCGUCUAUUGGAGACGCUCUUAACUACAAGAGCAGUUUUUGUUGUUAUUGGUGCAUUGCAUGCACCACCAGUUGCUUGCAAGCUCAUCAUCAGUUUCUUCCCUGAAGAAGAGACUUGAAAAAUACCACUCACUUAAGCAGCACAAAUCUUUUUAUUUCCUGAUAAUUGAAACCAGGUUGCUGAGAUCAAGCCUGCGAUGCUCUUAAUUAUCACCAGACAUACAUAAACGGGUAGACAACUUGGGACCAUUAAUUAAUUGGUUAUGACAGUGCAGUGGAUGGAAUAAAUAUGCUAAGCACAAGUAGGGGGCGACAGGGGUGCCCCUGAUCCAACCGGUGGCCUUGGAUCCGAAAAUUCUACGUAGUGCAGACACAUAGUAUGACACACACGCUCACUCACUCACCUACACCUUCCGCUGUCACUUUACAACGUCAGCGGCUUAAAACCCUUGACCUGCUGGGCGGCGUUCCCGAUGACUUGUGGGCGGCCUUGGACGCCACGCUGGAACAUGUUCAGAAGCGAACAAGCUUGGCGCUCACGGGUCCACAUCCCGGAUAAACCGACCGGGAAGUUUUUGCUGUAUCGAACGUUUUCAUGCGCCCCUGUUCGUUUCUGCCGAGCAAACUGGAGUGCCUCGCCGCCAUCCCGGACGCCAUCGGCCACCUGACGGCGCUGCGCAAGCUCACAUUGCAGGCCUCUCCAUCAGCCGGACGGCCAGCCACGAGAAGCUCCGCAGCGGCGGCAACAAAAACCUCCAGAGCGCGCUCACGCCGGAGAUCAGCAACUACUCCAAUCUCAUCAUGCAAGAGACGGACUGCAUGCCAAGAGCGUGUUGGUGAGGAGAGUUCG
rnacentral:lncRNA from 1 species